rnacentral:rRNA from 1 species
CCCCUAGAUGUUCUGGGCCGCACGCGCGCUACACUGAACAGUUCAACAAGUCUUAACCUUGGCCGAUAGGUCUGGGUAAUCUUUGAACGCUGUUCGUGAUUGGGAUAGACCUUUGCAAUUAUGGGUCUUCAACGAGGAGUUCCUAGUAAACGCAAGUCAUCAGCUUGCAUUGAUUACGUCCCUGCCCUUUGUACACACCGCCCGUCGCACCUACCGAUUGAAUGGUCCGGUGAAAUCUCGGGACGGCGGCUUGGUCGCUUGCGUCCGACUGCUGAAACUUGAUUAAACCAUAUCAUUUAGAGGAAGGCGAAGUCGUAACA